GCUUGUCUCAAAGAUUAAGCCAUGCAUGUCUAAGUAUAAGCAUUAUACAGUGAAACUGCGAAUGGCUCAUUAUAUCAGUUAUAGUUUAUUUGAUAGUCCCUGCUAUUUGGAUAACCGUAGUAAUUCUAGAGCUAAUACAUGCACAAAGCGACCUUCACGGGUCGUGUAUUUAUUAGAUACAAUCAGCCCUUCGGGUCAUGAUGAAUCAUAAUAACUGAACUAAGCGCAUGCUUCGGCGGCGCUGUUUCAUUCAAGUUUCUGCCCUAUCAGCUUUCGAUGGUAGGGUAUUGGCCUACCAUGGCGUUAACGGGUAACGGAGAAUUAGGGUUCGAUUCCGGAGAGGGAGCCUGAGAGAUGGCUACCACAUCCAAGGAAGGCAGCAGG
rnacentral:rRNA from 1 species